CUACGUAGCUCAGCUGGUUAGAGCACAUCACUCAUAAUGAUGGGGUCACAGGUUCAAAUCCCGUCGUAGCC
rnacentral:tRNA from 18 species